AGCGUCGCAGUCGUUCUGCCAGGGAGGUGGAGCCAGUCCGUCUCACCCCACGUUCUCUGUACCGGGGACCGUGCUGCCGCGGGGCCCAUCUUUUUCAUUUUUCUUGACUAGCUCUUGAUUACCUAUGUACCUGCCGUUGGGUCCGCAUGCUGUGUGCCCCACUUGCCAGUGAGUUGGGUUCUCCCACCCGUUGGUGUGUCCCUGCGAGCCAGAUGGCUUGGUACUGUAUCGAGAGAGAUCCUUGGUCCUAUCCUUCCCCAGCGUUUCCAUUCAGCCGCUCGCCGCUUCUCCGUCAAUGCGCUCCGCUUCACCAUUGCUGUACGCCGCCAGCGGGGAGACGUCCGUCCGCGGUCGUGUGGUGCUUUCCGGCCGGACAGACGCGGUCUCGGCGUCGUCCUCGUCCGUGGCGGAGAGGGAGAGGGGGCCCGUCGACGCCAUCUUUCUCGGCGCCGACUUCGCCCAAUCAGCCUCCUGCCUUGUCGUCUCGCUUGGCGAGCCAGCGGCGUGCGGUGUGGUUCAUGGCGUUGGUGGAGUCCAAGGCCGUGGCCUUACGCGCAUCGUGUUCGUUCGACCCAUGGAGGGUGUGUUGCGGUCCACCAUGAAGGGCGGCGGCGCGGGCGGCGAAGAAUCGAGAGCCCGAGCAGCGACGCCGACAAGCGCGCCAGUUCGUUGCUAAUCUCGGUCACCGGUGGUUUUGUUUUGUCUACGGCAUCGGGUUGCUUCCUGCUCCCUUCUUCUUCCAUCCUCUUUCUUCCUUUGCUUCGCUAAAUCCUUCUUUCGUCUUGCUCCUUAGAUUUCUGUCCUCGUCCUCUGCAGGUGUUGUGAUGUUUCUCGCUCUGGGUUGCCUUCAGCGUUGAGAUGCAAUUCACACACCACAUAAACCAUGUGUUGUGCUCUUUAUUGGUUCAUUGGUUGUGGUAGCUGCGGGGCUGGCGGCCGCAUUCGGGGUUGGAGAUGGCACGAGAUGCGGAGCUGCCUUGUGCCAUUCUUUCGCAAGAUUUGUGCUUGCAUUAAGAAGAAAAAGCUACCAUGCUAGAUUAGUUGAUCCAAGGCUGAAGUUGCAUACCAAAAUAAUCUUGAGAAAUUUAAAGACCAGAUACAGAUGGUUCAGCAAAGAGGGACUCAAGUUUGGAACCACCACACAGAUAAGGCCAUGGAACAAUAGUGUGUGGCUAUUCUGUGUAAUGUUUAUCUCAUCGGGGGAUAUGUCAGGGUGUAAGUGCAGACUCGUUAUCGAUGUUGAAUACUGGAGUAAGAAUGAUGAUCAAUAUAAUGUUGUAAUGAACCUGCAUGCUAUAGCAUUAUAUCAGGAUAUAUUGGUUAGGCACAUACUUUUUUGACAGUGGUUUAGAAAGGUGUGAUUUUCAAAUGUAGUUGCCUAUUAGUUUUUUUAGUUUUCUUUUGUUGAUUUCUCUUUUACUUAGUGUUUGCCGAGUAAGAGAAUUUUUUAACUUGAAUAUCAGAAUAUUUGUUUUUGAACGUUGGAAGAUCAGAACAUUACUGAUAGAAGAAUGAAUUAUAUCCUGAAAGUUGGUUACA